CCAUUGGCCAUUUCUGGUCUUCUUCAUCAGUUUCACCUCUUCAAAGGUUACUUUUUGACUGUAAAUGCUUCAAUUCUAGAUGAAUAUACCAAAAUCACUAUAUAGUUCCCUAUAAUAUUUGAGGAGUUCCCUCGAUUUCUCUAAGAUCCCAUCAUCAAAUCCUAACUUGGUGACAAUGGGACCACCUCAGAACAAACAAAGGAGGAGGUACUAUGUUCGGCUGUUUGUAUGUUUUUUUUUUGUAUGUUUGUUCAUCGAAUACUCCGUCAAUUGUCGACGGAUUUUCAAAAUUCUUUUUUUGUUCGAAAGUAGAUAGUUCUGAGGUGGUCCCAUUGUCACCAAGUUAGGAUCUGAUGAUGGGAUCUUAGAGAAAUCGAGGGAACUCCUCAAAUAUUAUAGGGAACUAUAUAGUGAUUUUGGUAUAUUCAUCUAGAAUUGAAGCAUUUACAGUCAAAAAGUAACCUUUGAAGAGGUGGAACUGAUGAAGAAGACCAGAAAUGGCCAAUGGAACUUCAUACUCACAUAGAAAUCACAAUAAAGUUAAUUAAGUGACUGUGACAAUACAAAUAAAUAAAGUAGUUAUUGAGAUAGAGAAUUUUAACCGACUUUUUUAGUUGCGAUACUGAGUAUCGCAACAAAAAAGUGUGAAAUAAAAUACUUUUUACAAAAAAAUAAACCGACUUCACUAAAAAAGUUAAAAAUAACUUUAAUUUCGGAAGUCGGUGUAACAAACAAAUAAUACCG